rnacentral:lncRNA from 1 species
AUGAACAGCUCGCUGUAUUUAAUCUCGUGAAAUGAAGGGGCGGGCUGUAGUUGCAUUUCCUCCUCACAUCCUGCGCUGACCCUCCGAUACCCCCGCCGACUGGACAAGCGCCUGCGGAGCAACAAGCCUUGCCGCCUGGGGAAAAGACCUUUAUCUACUGUUAAGGAGAGAUGGGCAACUUGUAUAAGGAUGAGCAGGACGACUGGAUCACGGUGUGUCUCAAGUACCUCCUCUUCAUUUUCAACUUCCUGUUUUGGGCAGCAUUCUUAUGAAAUAUCAGAUGCAGUGAGAGACAAAUGACAAGGAGAUGCAAGAAGUGUGUAUGUGAAUGAAAGAUCUUUUCGUUCAACUUAAAUCUGAGUCUUGUCCCAUCAUCUUGCUCUUGUUCUCCUCCCCCUCUUACUUCCUCUUCCCACCCACCUGUGCAUUUGCUCAAU